CCUGCCGCUAGAUGGCAAGCAUCGUGCCAUGUGCCAAAUGUUUCUUGUAGUAUCUGCAUUUGCUCACAGAUGGCAAUGUAGCCAAUUCAAGCAGUUCAGGUCGGAAAGAGCGCUCGUUUAUGAAGUCCUUUCAAAUGUUAACUCAGUGGGUCAAAGUUCUAUCUUUAAGUGGCAGAAGAAAGCAGUUACAUCUAUAUUACUCAUAGCUUUAGCACCAAAAAAACACUUUAAAGAGCCCAAGAUGAAAGCUGAACAAUGUCCAUCCAACGCAACCUGUGGACCACACACAGAACUGACCAUUAGACAACUGCACAGUGUUAGUCUGUGGUGUCAAGGAGACGGGCAUCGGCUGAUUGGGUCAUUGGCAGAAAUUAUUACAACAAUGAAAAAUUAAGAAAGACUGCUAUAAAUGAAAUACAAAACUGUCAGGUGGCUUGAGUCAUAACUCAGUUUACUCCGAAGUAGCGUUUGUAACUCAACGCUGUACAAGUUUAUGUAUAAUGUGUUUUAUGACAAUACAGUUA